rnacentral:siRNA from 1 species
UGAGCUUCUUGAUGUGUUGGC